rnacentral:lncRNA from 1 species
UGUACUUAGUGCUUCAUCCCUUGUUUCCUGAUGUGUCUUCCUAUCUAAAUAUCUUAUGUUUUAAUGUACUUUCUAUUCCUUUCCUCAAAUACGUUAUAGAUCAAAGGAGAUCCGUAAGCCAGCAUCUAUCUAAACUCUAUAUUAUCUGAAAUAGGUUCCAGGACAAUUCUUUCAAAACCAAAACAAAACUGAGUUCCUUGAAAAAUAAAGGCUGUAUAUGACUCGGUGGUAAAUAUUUCCGUAACAGGUGUAAAGGAGACAGUGUUUGCUUCCAGAGCUGUGACGUGACUGGCAGAACGAACAUAGGCUAUGCACCAGUAAAUCUCAAACUCUGAAUGAUAAGAUUUCAUGACCCAGUUGACUCUUCCUUCAGUAUGUAUCCACAAAUGGUAUUAAGAAAAAAAAUUGGGAUAAAAUUGAACGAGAUUUGA